AUGAAUGUAUACAAAGUGGUUAUCUCGUUUAGUGUUUUGAAAGUAGUUUAGAAAAAUAUAACUCGGCAAUGAUCCUAGUACGGAUGUAUGCUAAGUGGUGAUUUUCCAAAAGGAUGUUUGAAAGGUGUGAGGUGUGAAAAGUAUUUUUUAGGUUAUGAAUGAGCAAUUAAGGUUAUACCUGUCCGAGGUCUUUCCGGGCAUUUCCUAUCCUUAUGAGGGUAAAAC
rnacentral:lncRNA from 1 species